GGUGAUGUAGCUCAGUCGGUUAGAGCGCGGGAUUCAUAACCCCGAGGUCGGCGGAUCGUUCCCGCCCAUCACCACC
rnacentral:tRNA from 1 species